CGGUUAAGUUAGAAAGGGCGCACGGUGGAUGCCUUGGCACUAGGAGCCGAUGAAGGACGGGACGAACACCGAUAUGCUUCGGGGAGCUGUAAGCAAGCUUUGAUCCGGAGAUUUCCGAAUGGGGAAACCCACCACUCGUAAUGGAGUGGUAUCCAUAUCUGAAUUCAUAGGAUAUGAGAAGGCAGACCCGGGGAACUGAAACAUCUAAGUACCCGGAGGAAGAGAAAGCAAAUGCGAUUCCCUGAGUAGCGGCGAGCGAAACGGGAUCAGCCCAAACCAAGAGGCUUGCCUCUUGGGGUUGUAGGACACUCUGUACGGAGUUACAAAGGAACGAGGUAGGUGAAGAGGUCUGGAAAGGCCCGCCAUAGGAGGUAACAGCCCUGUAGUCAAAACUUCGUUCUCUCCUGAGUGGAUCCUGAGUACGGCGGAACACGUGAAAUUCCGUCGGAAUCCGGGAGGACCAUCUCCCAAGGCUAAAUACUCCCUAGUGACCGAUAGUGAACCAGUACCGUGAGGGAAAGGUGAAAAGCACCCCGGAAGGGGAGUGAAAGAGAUCCUGAAACCGUGUGCCUACAAGUAGUCAGAGCCCGUUAACGGGUGAUGGCGUGCCUUUUGUAGAAUGAACCGGCGAGUUACGAUCCCGUGCAAGGUUAAGCAGAAGAUGCGGAGCCGCAGCGAAAGCGAGUCUGAAUAGGGCGCAUGAGUACGUGGUCGUAGACCCGAAACCAGGUGAUCUACCCAUGUCCAGGGUGAAGUUCAGGUAACACUGAAUGGAGGCCCGAACCCACGCACGUUGAAAAGUGCGGGGAUGAGGUGUG
rnacentral:rRNA from 1 species